UGGGUCCUCCUCAUGAUCCCACCGAUGAUUUUAAUCCCUCUUGAAGAAUGAGGAUUUUGGAAUAGCGGUCGAAGGUCAGAACUUGGCCUUCAAAUUCGUCAGCCAAAGUGGUAUUGGCCACCUGAAGUGAAGAAGAAAACUCCUGCGAAACAAGGAUCAACAGCAUAAAAGUCAGAGUUUUGUUCAUAUAUUUUGCCUGCUUUUAUAUCAACAAAAAAAGUAGAUUACUUGAGAAUCGAAGAACAAAAUCGGUAAACACACCCAAAGUCACAAGUCACAAAUCGGAGAACAAAAUCAGUAAUACCUGAGAAUCAAUUGAUGUGGCGAAAUUACUUGAAAAUCAAUCGAUGGGGCAAAAUUUCUUGAGAAUUGAAGAAGUAGAUUACAGAGAUUCAGUUUGGGUAGGAAUUUGAGGCAUGAAUUAAACUGAACUUUGGGGUUGGAUAAGCGGGAGUAGGGAACUAAAAGCGAGAGUGGGAAAUAGAAUUUUCUAUAUUUUUAAUUACAGGGAAUAUGGCUGGCGACGGGUUUUAGCACUGGUCGCCAUAUCUCGUCGGCGCAUCACAUUCCUCUUGUAGCGACUGAGCAAUCUGACAAUAGCUACAACAUAAUAGAUCCAAUCUUGUACAUGAACAGUCGAAAUCCUCUCUUCAACAUUAGUACAUUACUACAGCAGGGGUAGUUUGACUUCACUGGUGUACAAACUUUGCCAUAAAAAUCUUCAUACAUAACUAUGGAGUCAUUCACUAGUCGAGAACAGGGCCACAACAAUAAAACACAAAUACUCUAUUUUGUUGAUGUGUAAUCCUGAUUCUGUGCUAGUUAGCUGGUNN
rnacentral:lncRNA from 1 species